CCACCCUAUGUCAGGCGAGAUUACCCAUUAAGUUUAAGCAUAUCAAUAAGUGGUGGAAAAGAAACUUACCAGGAUUCCCCUAGUAAUGGCAAGCAAACUAGGAAGAGCCUAGCUUGAGAAUCGGGCACCCCUAGUAUCUAAAUUGUAGUCUAGAGAAGCAUCUUUAGUGGUGGACCAGGCCUAAGUCCCCUUAAAAAGGGCACCAAAAAAGGUAAGAGCCCUAUUGUUCCUAGACCCUAUCCCAUAAUAAGGUGCAGUCUAUGAGUCAGGUUAUUUGGGAAUGCAACCCAAAUCAAGUAGUAAAUUCUAUCCAAGGCUAAAUGUAGCUGAGUGAUCGAUAGCAAAAAAGUACCGCAAAGAAAAGAUGAAAAGGUCUUUAAAAAGAGAUUCAAAUAGUGCUUGAAAUUAUUAUAAGGGAAGUAAAUGGGGGUUGGCUAUACACUUUGGUCAGACAUGGAAUGGCAAGAGCCGGUCUGUAGAUUGACUCAAAGCAUGGAUCGAUACAGGUCAUGGUGGCGACCUAAGCCUAGGCUUUUGAUAUGCCUAUGGAGAUGUCAUUUUUGUAAUUAUGGAAUGUAGCACAAGUCAUCUCAAUGUGCUUUGGCACUCGUAUGCUCCCGACAUUGGCCUGUAGGCUCCCUAUCCGACCUAUCUUGAAACAUGAACCAAGGAGUCUGACAUGUGUGCAAGUUAACAAGCUAGAAAACCUAUAAGGUGCAAGGAAGCUAAUUGGUGAGAUCCAUCAUGAGUGCACCAUUGACUGAUCUUAAUCUUUUGAGAAGGGUUUGAGUGUAAGCAUGCUUGUCGGGACUGAAAAGAUGGUGAACUAUGCUCGAGUAGGGUAAAGCUAGAGAAAACUCUGAUGGAGGCCUACGUGAUAUUAAUGUGCAAAUCAUUCGUCUGACUUGGGUUUAGGGGCGAAAGACUAAUCGAACCAUCUAGUAGCUAGUUUCCUCUGAAUUUUGCCUCAAGAUAAUAGGAGCCCUUAGCAAGUUUUAUCGGGUAAAGCCAAUGAUUAGAGGCAUCGAGGGUGUAAUGCCUUCAACCUAUUUUCAAACUUGAAAUAGGCAAGAUGGUGCAGCUACUUCAUUCAGUCGUGCCAUAGAAUCGAGAGCUCUAAGUGGGCCAUUUUUGGUAAGCAAAACUAGCAAUAAGGGAUGAACUGGAAGCUGAGUUAUGGUGCCUAACUACAUGCUAACCUAGAACCUAUAAAGGGUGUUGGUUGAUUAAGAUAGUAGGAUGGGGGUCAUGAAAGUUGAAAUCCAUUGAGUGUGUAACAACUUACCUAUCGAAUCAACUAGCUUAAAAAGUGGAUGGCAUUUAAACAUGCAACCUAUACGCAACUAUCAGGGCAAGGGCAAGGGCAAAGGCCAGGCCCCAAUGAGUAGAAAGGCAUGGUGGUCACUACAAAGCCUGGGGCAUGAGCCCCAUGGAGCAGCCUUGGUACAGAUCUUGGUGGUAGUAGCAAAUAUUCAAAUGAGAACAUUAAAUGCUAAAAAGGGGAAAGGUUCCAUGUGAAUUGCACUUGCACAUGGGUUAGUUGAUCCUAAGAGUUGAGGGAAGCCCAUCCGAUAGUGUGUCCAAUGUGAGCUUUAAAAGGGAAUUGAGUUAAAAUUCUUGAACCAAGAUGCAUAGGCUGACAGCAAUAUUAGGUAGUCUAAAGGUGUUGGAUGGGCCUUUGGGAAAAGUUAUCUUUUCUAUUUAUGGCCUGCCCACCCUAGAAAUGGCUUAGCCAGAGGUAGGGUCCAACAAUCAAAAGAGCAUCACAAGUCACAUGGUGUUUGGUGUACCUUUAAUGACCCUUAAAAAUCUGGAAGACAGAGUGCUCUUUAUGCCCGAUCAUAUUCAUAAUCGCAUCAGUCUCCAAAGAGAACAGCCUCUAGUCAAUGGAACAAUGUAGGCAAGGGAAGUUCGCAAAAUGGAUCCAUAACCUCAAGAAAUGGAUUAGCUUUGAGAGCUAGGCACGGGGUCCUAAUCUUAAACUCAUUGGUUGUCAAUGCACUACUCGAGCUACUCUCAACAGUGGGUCGUUAUGUGCUGAUCAAGGAUGGACUUGGAAAGGCUUCCUUGAGGGCUUUCUCUGGGUAAUGAAUAGUCCAAUCACUAAUUAGUGAGCACAUGAAUGGAUUAACACAAUUCUCAUUGUCCCUAUCUAUUAUCCAAUGAAACCAUAAUCAAAGGAAUGGGCUUGGUAGAAUUAGUAGGGAAAGAAGACCCUAUUCAGCUUGACUCUAGUCCAACCUUUUGAAAUGAAUUGAGAGGUGUAGGAUAAGUGGGAACCCUAAGUCAAAAUUGAAAUACCACAACUUUUAAUAUUAUUUUACUUAUUCUAUGAAUCAGAGACGGGGCAGAACCCCUUCUAUUUGGCCUAAGGCCAACCUUGAUCUAUCGAUUAGGGUAAAAGACAUUGUUAGGUGGGGAGUUUGGCUGGGGUAGCACAUCUGUUAAAAAAUAAUGUAGGUGUCCUAAGAUGAGCUCAACGAGAAUAGAAAUCUCAUAUGGAACAAAAGGAUAAAAGCUCAUUUGAUUUUGAUUUCUAGUAGGAAUAAACUAUGAAAGCAUGGCUUGUUAAUCCUGUAGACUUUCAGAUUUUAAAGCUAGACGUGUCAAAAAAGUUAUCAGAAGGAUAACUGGCUUAUGAUAGACAAGUGUUCAUAGUGAUGUUGCUUUUUGAUCCUUCAAUGUUGGCUUUUCCUAUCAUUGUGAAGCAAAAUUCACCAAGUGUUAGAUUGUUCACCCACCAAUAAGGAAUGUGACCUAGGUUUACACCAUCAUGAGAUAAGUUAGUUUUACCAUACUAAUGGUACCCUCAUAAUAAUAAUUCAACCUAAUAUGAGAGGAAUCAUUAAUUCACGCAUUUGGUUAUCCCACUUGGUUGAAAAGCUAGUGGCAUGAAGCUACCAUAUGCUUGAUUAUGACUGAAUACCUUUACAUUAGAAUCUAGGUUAGAAGGGACACAUGCAUCGUUGCCCAACUAUUGACCAGUAGUAAGGGCUUAUGCCCUGAAGGGCACAUGUCAUAGGUGUAGCACCCAUAGCAAACAAGCCAUACGGGCCUCCUUGGAGCUCAAUUCCCAUCGUU
rnacentral:rRNA from 1 species